rnacentral:rRNA from 1 species
GAUGAACGCUGGCGGCGUGCCUAAUACAUGCAAGUCGAGCGAACAGACGAGGAGCUUGCUCCUCUGACGUUAGCGGCGGACGGGUGAGUAACACGUGGAUAACCUACCUAUAAGACUGGGAUAACUUCGGGAAACCGGAGCUAAUACCGGAUAAUAUAUUGAACCGCAUGGUUCAAUAGUGAAAAACGGUUUUGCUGUCACUUAUAGAUGGAUCCGCGCCGCAUUAGCUAGUUGGUAAGGUAACAGCUUACCAAGGCAACGAUGCGUAGCCGACCUGAGAGGGUGAUCGGCCACACUGGAACUGAGACACGGUCCAGACUCCUACGGGAGGCAGCAGUAGGGAAUCUUCCGCAAUGGGCGAAAGCCUGACGGAGCAACGCCGCGUGAGUGAUGAAGGUCUUCGGAUCGUAAAACUCUGUUAUUAGGGAAGAACAAAUGUGUAAGUAACUAUGCACGUCUUGACGGUACCUAAUCAGAAAGCCACGGCUAACUACGUG